UACAGGGGGGGCAAGCGUUGUUCGGAAUUACUGGGCGUAAAGGGCCAGUAGGCGGCCAACUAAGUCCGACGUGAAAUCCCCAGGCUUAACCUGGGAACUGCGUCGGAUACUGGAUGGCUUGAAUUCGGGAGAGGGAUGCAGAAUUCCAGGUGUAGCGGUGGAAUGCGCAGAUAUCAGGAGGAACACCAAUAGCGAAGGCAGCUCGCUGGGACGGUACUGACGCUAAGGCGCGAAAGCGUGGGGAGCGAACAGG
rnacentral:rRNA from 1 species